GUAGGGAAUAUUGGGCAAUGGUCGGAAGACUGACCCAGCCAUGCCGCGUGCAGGAAGACGGCCCUCUGGGUUGUAAACUGCUUUUAUCUGGGAAGAAAAAGGCCAUGCGUGGCAAAUUGCCGGUACCAGAUGGAUAAGCACCGGCUAACUCCGUGCCAGCAGCCGCGGUAAUACGGAGGGUGCAAGCGUUGUCCGGAUUUAUUGGGUUUAAAGGGUGCGUAGGCGGCUGAUUAAGUCAGCGGUGAAAGACUCCGGCUUAACCGGAGCAGUGCCGUUGAUACUGGUUAGCUUGAGUGUUGGAGGAGUACAUGGAAUUGAUGGUGUAGCGGUGAAAUGCAUAGAUACCAUCAGGAACACCGAUAGCGAAGGCAUUGUACUGGCCAACAACUGACGCUGAUGCACGAAAGUGUGGGGAUCGAACAGGAUUAGAUACCCCAGUAGUCC
rnacentral:rRNA from 1 species